rnacentral:rRNA from 1 species
AUUGAACGCUGGCGGCAGGCCUAACACAUGCAAGUCGAGCGGAGCGGCGGACGGGUGAGUAAUGCCUAGGAAUAUGCCUGGUAGUGGGGGAUAACGUCCGGAAACGGGCGCUAAUACCGCAUACUAUCAGAUGAGCCUAGUUCGGAUUAGCUCGUUGGGGGGGGAAAGGCAUACAAGGUCGACGAGCCGUAACUGGUCUGAGAGGAUGAUCAGUCACACUUGAACUUAGACACUGUCCAGACUCCUACGGGAGGCAGCAGUGGGGAAUAUUGGACAAUGGGCGAAAUCCUGAUCCAGCCAUGCCGCGUAUGUGAAGAAGGUCUUCGGAUUGUAAAGCACUUUAAGUUGGGAGGCGUUACCAACAGGAUAAGCACCGGCUAACUUCGUGCCAGCAGCCGCGGUAAUAC